rnacentral:lncRNA from 1 species
UACGCGAUUUAAGAUUUAAACACGAAACGUACAGAAUACAACAUUUUCUACUGAAUGAAUUUACCUGAUACGAUGUGACAAUCAAUUUACAUGGAUUGCAUUUGCCAUGAAGUAACACUUUCUAUGUGUAGCUAAGUUAAAUCGUUGAAGAAUGAAAUAAUAUAUUUUCCUUUUCUGGAAAAAAAUAGAUUAUAAAGCGUAUAACAACAGUAACGAAGAGUGUUAUAGGACAUAUCAGAAAAAAUGAGGCAGAUAUUACGAAGGAAUCAACUUUCCCAACGUCACGGAUUCAACAGUAGACAGCUAACAAAGGAGUUAUGUAUUGUGUUUCACAUUUCAACACAGCAAUUUUUAUACAUGUGCUUGAGAGUUGUGUUUUGUUA